UACGUAGGGUGCGAGCGUUGUCCGGAAUUAUUGGGCGUAAAGAGCUCGUAGGCGGUGUGUCACGUCGUUCGUGAAAAACCUGCAGCUUAACUGUGGGCGUGCGGUCGAUACGGGCAUCACUGGAGUUCGGCAGGGGAGACUGGAAUUCCUGGUGUAGCGGUGAAAUGCGCAGAUAUCAGGAGGAACACCGGUGGCGAAGGCGGGUCUCUGGGCCGAUACUGACGCUGAGGCGCGAAAGCGUGGGGAGCGAACAGG
rnacentral:rRNA from 1 species